rnacentral:rRNA from 1 species
UACGUAGGGUGCAAGCGUUAAUCGGAAUUACUGGGCGUAAAGCGUGCGCAGGCGGUUUUGUAAGUCUGUCGUGAAAGCCCCGGGCUUAACCUGGGAAUUGCGAUGGAGACUGCAAGGCUUGAAUCUGGCAGAGGGGGGUAGAAUUCCACGUGUAGCAAUGAAAUGCGUAGAGAUGUGGAGGAACACCGAUGGCGAAGGCAGCCCCCUGGGUCAAGAUUGACGCUCAUGCACGAAAGCGUGGGGAGCAAACAGG